rnacentral:rRNA from 1 species
GACGAACGCUGGCGGCGUGCCUAAUACAUGCAAGUUGAGCGCUGAAGGUUGGUACUUGUACCGACUGGAUGAGCAGCGCACGGGUGAGUAACGCGUGGGGAAUCUGCCUUUGAGCGGGGGACAACAUUUGGAAACGAAUGCUAAUACCGCAUAAAAACUUUAAACACAAGUUUUAAGUUUGAAAGAUGCAAUUGCAUCACUCAAAGAUGAUCCCGCGUUGUAUUAGCUAGUUGGUGAGGUAAAGGCUCACCAAGGCGAUGAUACAUAGCCGACCUGAGAGGGUGAUCGGCCACAUUGGGACUGAGACACGGCCCAAACUCCUACGGGAGGCAGCAGUAGGGAAUCUUCGGCAAUGGACGAAAGUCUGACCGAGCAACGCCGCGUGAGUGAAGAAGGUUGUCGGAUCGUAAAACUCUGUUGGUAGAGAAGAACGUUGGUGAGAGUGGAAAGCUCAUCAAGUGACGGUAACUACCCAGAAAGGGACGGCUAACUACGUG